GCCCAGCCUCCUUCCAGGAAACAGCUCACCUGUGUGUUUGUGUUUAGUGUCCAGGUGUGGAGUGGAGCUUGUUGUUGGUGUCUCUGUGUAAAGAAACUACUGACUGACGAUGAUGAUGGAGGAAGAGGAGGACAGAACAGAGUCUGCAGGAUCCAGCUGUCCGUCUGUGAGGAGUGACCAGUCCAAAGAUCUAAAUCCACAGUUCAGUGCUGAUCAUGGACCAACGAGAGGUCAGAGGUCACAGUCUGCAGGGUCCAGCUGUCCAUCUGUGAGGAGUGACCGAUCCAAAGAUAGCAAUCCAGUCUUCAGUGCUGAACCUGGACCAACGAGAGUGGACCAGCAGAGCUCUGAGGUUCCCAGUGGUCAGUCUGCCCAGCAGCAUCAAAC